UCCACAGCCAUAUCACCCUGCAGCCCAAGACUGGUUGCCCACUGAAGCUAAGCAGGGUUGAUCCUGGUCAGUACCUGGAUGGGAGACCUGCUGGGAAAACUAGGUUGCUGUUGGAA
rnacentral:rRNA from 1 species